CACAGCUGUGCGGGUGAUUUAGCAUCUCAAUUCUCUCUUCAUCUCCCGGUUAAUGGAAACCUCAUCAUGCUAUGAGUAAUUGAUUUCUCUUCCGAUCCCUGUUCCAUAACGUAUCAUAAACCCUAAGAUGCUUUUCUAUUAUCUCCUCAACAACAGAAGGUAAUCUCAAUCCAUAUUGAUUUUUGGCUAAAAAAAAAAGCUCAUCCUUGCAUUAAUUGGAUUCUUCUCUCUAUAAAAUGUCUAAUCCCAAUCGAGAGCCGCAUCAGUUCCAAUAGAACAUGUAAGUCUUUUUCCCGUUGCUUCUAAUCACGUUUUCCUUCCACUUUCAAUCUGUUGAGUUUUUCCAAUUACGUUUUCCUCUUUUGUAGCGAUAUCCGGGGAGAAGCUAACUGUGUACUACGAAAAAAUAACGCUAAUUUGUUUUCCUUCUUUUUUAUUGUAGCUAUCAGCUAUUGCAAACAACAACGCCGUCGACUUUGGCGGUGAAGUUGGGUAUAUUAAGUUUCUUAUUGAGGUUAGGAGUGUUAAACCUAAAUUCAGUAAUAUAACCAUCUUGCUUUUAUGGCCAAUUUUUUUUGUUAAAAUGUGCUCUUUAGUGGCCGAGAGGCAUAAAAUACUUCUGGCUUCUCAGGAGCUGCCCCGUUAAGGUGGUGUUCUUGACGAAUUUGCUAUGAAAUUAUCUAAAUGGUUUUGUAGGUUCAACAAGCUUUUGCAGACCUAGAAAGGUAAAAUGGGAAAAUGUACAGGGAAGUUGUUUAUGUUUCACUAUUUGGAGUAAUAGUCCCCAAGGCAUUGGUUGGCUCCAGGUGAGAAUUUGGACUAACUUACCAAUAUUCAAUUGGAACCAAUUGUUUUCAUUUCUCUUACCUGAGUUGUAUAAAAGUAGGUAACCAAAUGUGAAGUACAAAGUAUUGUUUUCGCCGUAAACGAUGCUACUUACUGAAAGGAAGAUGCAUCAGUUAAUCUCUACCAUCAACUUUUUGUUUGUGAUGGCAUUGAGUUUUAUUGGUGAAUCUAGAAUAAAGAGAGUCUGUGCCAGGGUUUUCAACAGGCUGUCUUUUUCUAAGUUGAUCUCUCGGUCUCGAAGAAGCUAUUUAAAACAUGUUUAAGUGUGGACGUUGGGCAAGCUGAAUAAGGUUAAACAAGAAAUGGAGGUUGCAAAUAAGAUUGCCAGAGAGAUCGACUUCACUUAUUUAUUGCACCCGUACCAAAGGACUCGGAAAAGGUGAUGCUUGCAAAGCCGAUAGGGCAGGUGAUGAUUAAGUUCUUUCUCAAAAUUUGGAUUAUGAAAUACAUAUUAUUACAGGAUGAGAUAUCAUUCAAGAGUUGGAGAACUAAAAACCCAAAACACUGUGAUGGCUCUUCUUCCUCGAAGGAGUGAUGUGGCAUAGCCAAGAACUUCACAAUAGUUAGGAUUUAGGUCACUUGAUUGAUCGCUAACUGAAAUUCAUUUACACUCAUUGAAAGGUUUGGCGGAAGUCAAAGUGUUCAAUACGAUAUCUGAAGACAAGCUCUUCAAUCCUGGAGUACUGGGUUCCCAGCAAAUAUAUCAUUACUACAUAUUUUUAUCUUACCCGCUGUCACUUUUCAUGUAUGGGAAAGAUGUUUUUUACAUAGGAAUAAUGUUGGGAAUCUGGGAGAGGGAGUAUAUGCUUCUCGAGAAAGGACAGCGAGUAGGUAUGUGCAAAGCUAAUAAUUUUGUAUUAGCGAUAAGGUAUGUUUUAUUUUCUUCGGUUUCUUUGUGUUAACAUGAAUUCAUUGACAAGCCUCGGACAAUUCAUUGAUAGGCCGAAUUUUCAAGGUUAGUUAGGGCUAUGGACUUAUAUAUAUAGUUUCCUUUUACGAAUAGAGAUGCACAUCGAGGAACACAUGCCAUAGGUGAUUGUCACUUAUGAAACCUAUUAGUUAAUUUCGGGAGGUUCAAACUUAAUAUCUUGAGCACAAAGUAUGAUGUAAAAUUUUUGUUUGAAAGCCUUUCUGAAAAAGUUAUUUUUGCAGUUUGAUAUGUGACAUGAUAUCCAGAUAUUGCUGGGCCUAGGUUUGGCUGUAAAACUUCUAACUAAUGGGGUUACAUGCUCAAACUUUUUCGCAAAAAUUCUGGCCAUUAUCUUAGGCUUACAGAGAGGUCAAGAAAUACAGGAAUAUGGUUAAUAUAUUGUAAUUGGCAACUCAGUCUAUACGAGCGCAAUCCAGAUUUAUAUAUUUGUUUUUCAAUAGAAGCUUAGCCGCUUAGAGAUACCUCAUACCUACGACCGGGCUUAUGACUGGACGUACAACUUCAAAUUAUUGCAUGGUUGGGAUGUCGCCAACAGGAGUUGAUUGGAAUUUGACGGAUUUGGUUUAAUGAAAAUUUGGGUUUUUUUUCCUUCUUUUUUACAGAUUCAGCAUGGAUUCUUAAUUAUACGAAUGUAUGCAAUAUUAGGAUGAUUUACGUAAUGGACUCUUGCUUAG